rnacentral:tRNA from 47 species
GGCCCUGUAGCGCAGUUGGUUAGCGUGCCGCCCUGUCACGGCGGAGGUCGCGGGUUCAAGUCCCGUCAGGGUCGC